GAUGAAGAACGCAGCGAAAUGCGAUAAGUAGUGUGAAUUGCAGAAUUCAGUGAAUCAUCGAAUCUUUGAACGCACAUUGCGCCCCUUGGUAUUCCAUGGGGCAUGCUUGUUCGAGCGUCAUUUGUACUCUCAAGCUUUGCUUGGUGUUGGGUGUUUGUCCUUGCCUUUGUGCUUGGACUCGCCUUAAAUUCAUUGGCAGCCAAUGUAUUGGUUUGAAGCGCAGCACAAUUUGCGGUUCUCGCUGAUCAUCAUUAGCGUCCAUAAAGCACAAUUAACACUUUUGACCUCGGAUCAAGUAGGGAUACCCGCUGAACUUAAGCAUAUCAAUAAGCGGAGGA
rnacentral:misc_RNA from 1 species